rnacentral:rRNA from 1 species
AUGAACGCUGGCGGCGUGCCUAAUACAUGCAAGUCGAGCGAACAGACGAGGAGCUUGCUCCUCUGACGUUAGCGGCGGACGGGUGAGUAACACGUGGAUAACCUACCUAUAAGACUGGGAUAACUUCGGGAAACCGGAGCUAAUACCGGAUAAUAUAUUGAACCGCAUGGUUCAAUAGUGAAAGACGGUUUUGCUGUCACUUAUAGAUGGAUCCGCGCCGCAUUAGCUAGUUGGUAAGGUAACGGCUUACCAAGGCAACGAUGCGUAGCCGACCUGAGAGGGUGAUCGGCCACACUGGAACUGAGACACGGUCCAGACUCCUACGGGAGGCAGCAGUAGGGAAUCUUCCGCAAUGGGCGAAAGCCUGACGGAGCAACGCCGCGUGGGUGAUGAAGGUCUUCGGAUCGUAAAACUCUGUUAUUAGGGAAGAACAAAUGUGUAAGUAACUAUGCACGUCUUGACGGUACCUAAUCAGAAAGCCACGGCUAACUACGUG